rnacentral:rRNA from 1 species
UUAAACUCAAAUGAAUUGACGGGGCCCGCACAAGCGGUGGAGCAUGUGGUUUAAUUCGAUGCAACGCGAAGAACCUUACCUACUCUUGACAUCCAGAGAAUUUAGCAGAGAUGCUUUAGUGCCUUCGGGAACUCUGAGACAGGUGCUGCAUGGCUGUCGUCAGCUCGUGUUGUGAAAUGUUGGGUUAAGUCCCGCAACGAGCGCAACCCUUAUCCUUUGUUGCCAGCACGUUAUGGUGGGAACUCAAAGGAGACUGCCGGUGAUAAACCGGAGGAAGGUGGGGAUGACGUCAAGUCAUCAUGGCCCUUACGAGUAGGGCUACACACGUGCUACAAUGGCGUAUACAAAGAGAAGCGACCUCGCGAGAGCAAGCGGAACUCAUAAAGUACGUCGUAGUCCGGAUUGGAGUCUGCAACUCGACUCCAUGAAGUCGGAAUCGCUAGUAAUCGUAGAUCAGAAUGCUACGGUGAAUACGUUCCCGGGCCUUGUACACACCGCCCGUCACACCAUGGGAGUGGGUUGCAAAAGAAGUAGGUAGCUUAACCUUCGGGAGGGCGCUUACCACUUUGUGAUUCAUGACUGGGGUGAAGUCGUAACAAGGUAACCA